AAUAGAUACCCCGGUAGUCCACGCCGUAAACGAUGAGUGCUAAGUGUUAGGGGGUUUCCGCCCCUUAGUGCUGCAGCUAACGCAUUAAGCACUCCGCCUGGGGAGUACGGCCGCAAGGCUGAAACUCAAAGGAAUUGACGGGGGCCCGCACAAGCGGUGGAGCAUGUGGUUUAAUUCGAAGCAACGCGAAGAACCUUACCAGGUCUUGACAUCUCCUGACCGCCCUAGAGAUAGGGUCUUCCCUUCGGGGACAGGAUGACAGGUGGUGCAUGGUUGUCGUCAGCUCGUGUCGUGAGAUGUUGGGUUAAGUCCCGCAACGAGCGCAACCCUUGUCCUUAGUUGCCAGCAUUCGGGUUGGGCACUCUAAGGAGACUGCCGGCUAAAAGUCGGAGGAAGGUGGGGAUGACGUCAAAUCAUCAUGCCCCUUAUGACCUGGGCUACACACGUGCUACAAUGGGCGGUACAGAGGGUAGCGAACCCGCGGAGGGGGAGCCAAUACCCAAAAACCGCUCUCAGUUCGGAUUGCAGGCUGCAACUCG
rnacentral:rRNA from 1 species